AGCGAACGCUGGCGGCAGGCCUAACACGUGCAAGUCGAACGAAGUCUUCGGACUUAGUGGCGGACGGGUGAGUAACACGUGGGAACGUGCCUUUAGGUUCGGAAUAACUCAGGGAAACUUGUGCUAAUACCGAAUGUGCCCUUCGGGGGAAAGAUUUAUCGCCUUUAGAGCGGCCCGCGUCUGAUUAGCUAGUUGGUGAGGUAAAGGCCCACCAAGGCGACGAUCAGUAGCUGGUCUGAGAGGAUGAUCAGCCACAUUGGGACUGAGACACGGCCCAAACUCCUACGGGAGGCAGCAGUGGGGAAUCUUGCGCAAUGGGCGAAAGCCUGACGCAGCCAUGCCGCGUGAAUGAUGAAGGUCUUAGGAUUGUAAAAUUCUUUCACCGGGGACGAUAAUGACGGUACCCGGAGAAGAAGCCCCGGCUAACUUCGUGCCAGCCGCCGCAGUAAGAC
rnacentral:rRNA from 1 species